UUUCGCACGCUCGGGCGAUCGGUGUUUGUUGUUUACUUCCAACAUAAUGUUGUUUCCCCUAUCCGGUAAUUCAUCUGCGGUCGGACAUUCCUGCUGCCUACGCAAGAUCCAAGACCAGUAAAAUGACGGAACAGGUUGCAAUGGUGGGAUGAAAUCCUCACAACCAGAAUUCUUUCCUGAACAGCUGGCAAGGUACUCGCAAAGCAUUUCGACGGACAAAACAUCUGGAAAGCAGCGACCACAGGAAACCUGAUGAUUUCCAGUAUAUCUCAAGCCGGAAUCAACCAAAAUAGUCUCAUCAAUGUGCACCAUGCAAGGACCUGCGGAAAUUUGGAGUAUGUCGAGCUUCUAGUGUCCAAAAUAGAAGUCAAUAAAGUGCAUGUUGGAACAGGUUGGAACAAACGCCGCCAAGGCAAACUUUCUAGCCUGCAUCAAGAAGAUUAUGAUUGAGAAA
rnacentral:lncRNA from 1 species